AUGCUUACAUACAUUGUUAGGAAAGCUGGGGUGGGCAGGGCUGGCAUUGCAGCCUGGUGGAUCCAGCCCACCCACUGCAACUGCCGUGCGAGGGAGACUUUACCUCUGAAGAAGGUGCAAUCGGAUCUCUCAUCUUUUGGCAGGGGCAAAGGAGAGAUGACUAAAAAAAUGAGGACGAAGAGGAGGAAAUCAGUGAUAGGCAAUCCACAGCACCACUACUGCAGGCUUGCAAGAAGGAAUGCACACAUUGAGCGUUUGUACAGCAUCCAGCGCAGUGAAGCCCCAAUGUGGAAUGCAGUUCCUUCUGGCUACCCAGGAGUUCAUCUACCAUCCAGCUGCUGUGUGGGUUGUGACUGAGCAUGCGAUUAGGAGAAGGGAGAUUAGUGGUUCUUCAACACCCUCUUAAUGUAAAAAUGGUGUAUUUGGGUACACGAUAUAGGUAUCUUCAGAUAUGCUGACCUAAAUGUGAUACUUAAAAAAAAAUAAUACUGGUAGGGUUCUCUGAAAAUUUAAAAUAGAUCUCUAGGAUAUAGACAAAAACCUUUGGGUUCUAGUGCUGUGUUCAACCAGGGCAGGAAAGUACACAAAAGACAGAUGUUGGUGUUCAGUAUCAGUGUAUUCCUUAUAUUCUGGAGUUUGAGAACAUCUCUGGCUUGCAUGGCUAUGUUAAAAUUCAGACCUUUCAAAUCUGCAGAGACCAACAAUAGUAAAAGUCAACCAAACUUUUGACUAGAGGCGAAGCCUAACCUCAGACCUGGGAAAAUAGGUCUUACGAACUCUCUGUCAUGAUAGCCACCCUUCAGGAGUCUGUUUUUCCAGGACAUCUCUCAGUCAUCUUUUGCUUCAUUUCUUUGGAGUAAUAUGGCCUUGAAGUUCCUAAGAUUCUGUGCUAUAAAAUUUAAUAGAAAAUGAUUUGCUAGAAGAUUUCUCUUUUACAGGGUAGAAAAAAGAAAAAUCAACCUAUAAAAAACCUGUAUUGCCUCUAAAGAUGGGAGGAGAACCAAAGCCCUGGCAUAAAAUAAAAGGAUACAUCUUAAAAUAAAACA
rnacentral:lncRNA from 1 species